UUGGUGUUGUUUUAUAUGUUUUCUUUGUGUCUUUAAAUAAAUGUCCUGUGCUUUGAGCGAGCCGGUUGGUGACUGGCAAAACAGCGUCCUUGGGGAGAAAAGCAACACGUGCAGGCUGGACUUUGCCCAGGGAGAGGUGAUCGCUAGAAACCUGAGAGGGCUCUUCUGGACCAGAUCGUGGAAGGACGAGUCAAAGGUCUUUCCGGUUGAUGGCUUCCAGCACUAUCGUGGUCACCUCCAGCGCAUAAUCCAUUGUGUAGUGUCCAAUCAAGAGGACAACUCCCCACACCCUGAAGGAUGAACUAACCGGUGGGAGGAUCAGACACUGAUGCAGGAUGUUUCACGUUCCCUGGAACAGGAAAAAGAAAAGGUCUUUCCGGUUGAUGGCUUCCAGCACUAUCGUGGUCACCUCCAAUGCAUAAUCCAUUGUGUAGUGUCCAAUCAAGAGGACAACUCCCCACACCCUGAAGGAUGAACUAACUGGUGGGAGGAUCAGACCUUGAUGUGGGAGGAUCAGACCCUGAUGCAGGAUGUUCCACAUCCCCUGGAAGAGGAAAAAGCUAGAGUGGCGCAGGUGUUUCACACUCUCCAUCCCUAAAGAGAGCAAAGUCCUUCAAACACGGCAAGGAGGUGAAGGAGGCAAGAAGAGUGGCCAGAGACUAAACCCCAUUCUUAUAGGUGUGUCUUCACUGAAGCAUUAGUCCAGGCUACUACCCAGGAGCUGCCCUAACCUGCUUCCUAGCCACACACAGAAACCUCGAAUUUGGAUUUAGUGGUGCUUUAA